CCCCUUUUAAAAGCACUCAAUGGCCCUUUUGCUAGUGGCUCACUGAGCUGUCAAGAAGGGGCGGAGUAAAAACACCACUUUUGGUCGAAGUAGCAACUUGUGUUGUUUUACUUCAAUCAGUGUUGUGACAAGA
rnacentral:snoRNA from 1 species